rnacentral:lncRNA from 1 species
GUUCCUGUUUGAGAUUACUUUACCAAAAUCAACCCACUUACAAGCCCUUGUCCCAAAUCUGUUUCAUGGGGAAGGACUGAAAUUUUCAAAAACAACCAAGAAGGAAAGCAACUGCUACUGGAAGAGGAGAGGCAAAGACAGCACCUGGUCCUACUGCUUUCCAACAAUGAUGCAUUUGCACCAUCGCCUUGCGUAUUUUAAAACUUUCAACCUGAAGUGGAUUAUGGGAGAUGACUGGGGAGCAGCCAGACUCGGAGCUGUGGAAAGAGCUUUCCUGUGAUCCUUUACCUUCUGACAACACAAGUUAUAACUCAUGAAGAAAGGCACUUAACACUCCAUGUACCACCACCUUUUGGCCUCAGCUGGACAGCUGAAGUAAAAUCAUUGUCUGCUACCACUGUGAAUGUUCCAACAACAUGAAAGAAAUAAAUCAUUUAAUUGAACAUGGCUUUUACGCUUUAUCUUUUACUAAUAAUGAUUUUUAAAAAAAU